rnacentral:rRNA from 1 species
UACGAAGGGGGCUAGCGUUGUUCGGAAUCACUGGGCGUAAAGCGCACGCAGGCGGAUUGAUAAGUCAGGGGUGAAAUCCCGGGGCUCAACCUCGGAAUUGCCUUUGAUACUGUCUGUCUUGAGUUCGGGAGAGGUUGGCGGAAUUCCUAGUGUAGAGGUGAAAUUCGUAGAUAUUAGGAAGAACACCAGUGGCGAAGGCGGCCAACUGCCCGAUACUGACGCUCAUGUGCGAAAGCGUGGGGAGCAAACAGG